CAUGCCUAACACAUGCAAGUCGAACGGGAUGCGAGGCUUCGGUUUCGUAUCUAGUGGCAAACGGGUGAGUAACACGUGGGAAACUACACUUCAGAGGGGGACAACAGUUGGAAACGACUGCUAAUACCGCAUACGCUCUACGGAGGAAAGAUUUAUCGCUGAAGGAUGUGCCCGCGUCUGAUUAGGUAGUUGGUGGGGUAAAGGCCUACCAAGCCGAUGAUCAGUAGCUGGUCUGAGAGGAUGAUCAGCCACACUGGGACUGAGACACGGCCCAGACUCCUACGGGAGGCAGCAGUGAGGAAUAUUGGACAAUGGGGGCAACCCUGAUCCAGCAAUGCCGCGUGAAUGAAGAAGGCCUUCGGGUUGUAAAGUUCUUUCAUCUGUGACGAUAAUGACGGUAGCAGAAGAAGAAGCCCCGGCUAACUCCGUGCCAGCCGCCGCGGUAA
rnacentral:rRNA from 1 species